GCAAUCACUAUAGCAACCAGGCUCACACCUGCCUGCUUAACGAGUUCUGUCUCUCACUCUGCCAUGGUUAAACCUAAAAAUGUCUGUUGCAUCUAAGCAGUUGUAGUAAGAUUAACUUUUUCAAUAGGUACAAUAAGACAGAUUUGACAGGGUUUUGCCACAGAUUAAUAUCCCAACUAAGUAGACCAUUGUGAUUGGCCUGUUAAAUUCAACCUUAUAGUUUAGUGGUGGACUUGUCUUCUACACAGUGGUUUUUCAGAUCUGGGCAGUUGGAGUCAGUUGAUGACUUUAAAAUAAUCUUUUCUGACUGGAUAAUUAAAGCUCACAGCAUUUACCUGUCUGUAGUUGAUUUUCCCACAUUUUAACUUUUAACUAAUCUAAUCUCAUUUAAUGUCUCUGUUUAUAGUCUGUAUAGUUUAUCCCCCCACUAACACACUUAAAGUAGUCUUAAAAUAAAACCCACAAAACAGUUCAAGAUGAUAUACUUUUUAUUUGCUCAUUUAAUGCCAUUUGCCCUCUUUCUCUGUUUGUCACUCAUUUGCUUAUACUCACUCAAAGUACCAAUUUGUACUGAUGAGUCUAGUGUAUUUUUUUCCCUCUUUCUCUCUGUCUCACACACACAGACCAACACACAGACAUGUAUAUGCUCAUUAUUGCUCUUCAAACUGAUGGUCAAAUUUCCAAGCACCACCUGAACGCCUCAUUUGUUUUUAACCCAUCACGGGACCAACUGUCGUCAUUCCGCUUUGCUCUCUGCUGUGGAACCUGACUGACAUCUGUGCUUUGACUGUGUGCAGAAGAAGAACAAGGACGAGAUCUCCAGUCUUCUGUCUCACAUCCCAACCCCCCAUCCCCUCUAUCCUCUGUCCUGCUCCACCUGUUGUCUCUGCCUUCUUUCCAUCUGUAUUUCACCCUGUGGUUUGUGAGAAAUUUUGCCAAACCAAGAAUCUUAUUGCGGUUUGAUUUCAAAGCCGUGUCUCUCCUGCUCUGUCUGUUCUCUCUGCUAAAUUUUCUCUCUACCUGUUUUUCACUCUUUGGUUUGCUGCUGAAAAAUGCACAAGCCAAUAAAGCAAUAAAGAGUGCAUAUUUUGCCUCAACCUAUGAACAAACUGAACAAACAAAGAAAACUCUAAUUCACGGUUAAUUGGGAUUUCCCAGCCGUGUCUUUCCUGCUCUGUCUGUUCUCUCUUCUAAAUUUUCUCUCUACCUGUUUUUCACUCUUGGCUUGCUGCUGAAAAAUGCCAAGCCAUUAAAGCAAUAAAGAGUGCAUAUUGCCUCUACCUGAGAACAAACAAAGAAAACUCUGCGGUUUGAUUUCCAAGCCGUGUCUCUCCUGCUCUGCCUGUUCUCUCUGCUAAAUUUUCUCUCUACCUGUUUUUCACUCUUGGCUUGCUGCUGAAAAAUGCCAAGCCAUUAAAGCAAUAAAGAGUGCAUAUAUUGCCUCUACCCUGAGAACAAACUGAACAGAGAAAACUCUAAUUCACGGUUUUAUUUUGAUUUACAAGCCGUGUCUCUCCUGCUCUGCCUGUUCUCUCUUCUAGAUUUUCUCUCUACCUGUUUUUCAUUCUGGGCUUGUUGCUAAAUUGUGCCAAGCCAAUAAAGAGAGUGCAUAAUAUUCUCUCGACUGAAGAACAAACUGUCAAACAAACAAAGACAUUGUUUUUGAGAAAUAAAAACUGAACUAUAAAGAGAAAGAA